GAACAAUACAUGGCCUGAUGCCAAGAUAUACGGAGAAUCUGUGAAGGAAAAAAAUCGGCAGAUCAGAGUUGCGUUUAUUCUGAAGCAGAAUACAAUGUGUUUUCAAUAUUCCCUCUCACUGCAGUGUAAUUGCUCUCUAAAAGAUCAUCCGAUUGCCCGGUCCGAUUGGGAGUACGCCAGAAUUCAAACAGGGUCAUCAGGUGUGUUGAACAGCGGGUAUACAAGUAGGGUCCUGUUGGUCUCGAGUGGAAUCACCUUUAAAAACAAGUUUUGGAUACUUCUGAACCCAUCUCAGAGCUGUACAUAAAGAUAUGUCGUGUGUUUUCAGUUCAGUCUACUGAGAUUUCUCUAACUUAUGAUUCUCAAGCCAUUCUCCUAAUAUAUGGAGAUGAUAUAAAUAGGCCUAUAACUAUGAUCAACGAGUGACUUCCCGGCCGGUGACGUUCUCAAAAUUCCACAACGAAAUAAAGCAUGGGACGUGCCGUUGAUGUAAGUCGGUCUACAGUGAAAAGCGUGUAGAUCUCACACGAUCAUCUAACUUCACAUGCGUUGAGAAUUACCGUAUGCCAAAGACAGUGCAAAGUCCACACGUGGCGAAGUGCAGUUACGUCGAAGUUGACAUGCAACCCGGUGAAGAUUUUCCUUCUCAUCAAGUCGACUGCAUUGCUGGUAAACUGUGAAAUGUCUAACUGACAUGCAGGGUGAAACGGAAAUCAGAACUAGAUAUAUGCCACGCUUGUACUGCAUGCAACUCAGCUCCAACUUUCAACAUGGCGUCAGAUGAAAUAAGCUUUCGCUGUUAACCGGUCAUCGGACAAAGGUGAGGUGAUACUCAAGCAAGUGCGACAAAUGCGAGCUGAAGUGAUCCGACUGUUUUGGAAUGUGCCAAACUUAAAAGACUUCCCUGGGAAAACAUGGCCUAUGAAUAGCAUCUCAUCAGUCUCCAAACUCGCCACAUUAACUAAUACAACUGUGCCCGAGUUGAUACAUGUAUAAACAUGGUUCAGGUCUAUAAAAGGAAUAUAGAAGCUAUUUGAACAUAAGUUCAGCAGUUCAGACCAUUAGCAUACUGUACAUGUAACUUAUACGUACAUAUGUUUUUGUGUGCACUCUUCCUGGGUGCAUUAAUUACAUAAUUUCAUUCCAAAUCACGUGGCGCAAUUUCUUCCACAAUUUAAACACAAACAUUACAAGAACUGAAUUGAAUUUCCAUUGUUCCCUGCUUCACAUAUUCUGUUUUGCAAAAUUUCUUUCUGAACAUAGUUCCAUGGAUUUACUCUGGCCGAGUUGAUAUUAUUACAGUUUUCAUUAUUUAAAUCAGAGUGAUGUGCUUAUAAUGUAAGUUACAAAGUUACUUGAGGCUUUCCGAAAUUCCAAGAACACUUUUAAAAUCAUUCACAGCUCUUGCUUGUCAUAAAAAUUGGUAAGUGUAUUUUUAUUGCAAAAACGUGCAGUAGAAUAUGAAAUUGUGAUAAACAUAGACAUAUACCUUCAGAAUUUAAGGUGGUUCCUGUACUACCUGUAGAGUAUUGGCCAUAUGAUGUAAACAAAUUGUGCCUGUCUCGAGGGACUUCAGGUUCCACAAAGAGCAUCCUUUGACUUAUUUCAGUGCCAUAACAUGUAGUUUCCCAUAAAUGUACAAAGAAAAGUAUAUUUUUAGAUGUAAAAAUUGAGUUUUAGUUUCUUGCAAAGUAGCAAACACUGCACCUUAGUAGAUUAUGCAAGUAGUGCAGAUCCUUAGCAAUAUGUUCCAAUAUUGUAACAUUAACUUAUUUGAAUGUGAAUGAUUAAUAAAAUGUCAAAAUACGUUAACAUAAUUUUCAUCUGUCCAUAUGUAGUACAUAGUAUAGUAGUGACAGUCAUUUGGGGGAAACAAAGGACGGUAAUUUUUACACUCUCUCUGAAAAAGAAUUAUUAAAGUAUGAAAUUCAGGUGAGGUAUGCCUUCAGUUUCUCAAUGAUUUGACCUAAUUUAUUUUCACUUGCAAUAGUGGCAAAAAAUUCGAUUAUUUUUUGCACACCUGUAAUAUAUAUUAUGAAUUUCUUUAGUUUUUUGUUUGAGUAUAUAGAAAAUAUAUCUUUGUAGUUUUUCAUCAGUUUUAAAGUAAAUUGAGUAAGAGUUGGUCUUCAGGAUGAUAAAACAGUUGAGAUUAUUUUUCUUUUGUGUUGGCAUGAUGACUCACAAGUUCAUUAAUGGAGGCUGUGACAUAUAUUUGUUUAAAAGCUAACAUUACAAAGGUUUUAUUAAAAAAACACUAAUCUUUGAUUUAUGUUGUAUAUAGUAUAAUAGUGUUCAUAUGGAUACACAGGAAGAAAAAAAACCCAAUCGAGAUAUGUGUGCCGAAAAAUCAUGCAUUUAGUACAUCUCCUUACUAGAAGUUUUAGAACACAGAUGUUUCCAUUAAUAUAUAUUUCACUUUAUGUGAAGCACUAAAUAAUAAUUUUCGGGUGUAAAUUUUCAGGACUUUAUUUUGAUACUCCUCACAGACUCAAUUGAGAAAUGGGACCGUAAAGUUCAGGGCCCUGUCUUACAAAGAGUUACAAUUGAUCCAAUCAACCACAACUAUGGAAAGCCAGCAACGUCAACAAAUAAAUGACAUGUUUGUUCAAAAUAUUUUCUAGAUGUGUAUAUUUUUAUAGUUUUCUUCAAAAAAAAUUAGUGUGCAUCUCUUUGUUUACAAGGACAUUGUGCAAAUUUCCUGAAGAAGAAAUAAUGGCAAAAGUUGAUGGAUUUCCAUAUACUUCAGAUUGAUCAGAUCAAUAGUAACUCUUUGUAAGUCGGGGCCGUAAUUUGGUCAUUAUGUUAAGCUAUGCCUUUAACUUUUAAAAAGAAUCUACCAAGAAUUUCAUACACUUGUAUGCUAGCUCUGUAGGCAAAUGUAUGGGAAGCUAAAAGAUGUAAUUUUUGUUUACAUGGCAGGUUCUUACUUUUACUAUUUGUUUCCGUGAUUUUAUGGUGAAGAAAAGAAUUAUUCCAAGCUGGUAUGAUUUGAGUUUAAAGUGAGCAGGUAAAUUGAGCCUGCAAUGUUAAACUUGUGCAACACUUUUCUCUCUAUAUACAGGUCAUAAUUUUCUAAGAAUUUCAUUUAGCAUACUGUAAUCACAAUAAACUGGUUUUCAACAUGAAAAGUUUGAUUCUAUCGUCUCAUAUUUGUCAAAAAGUUCAAGGGAUAUUGCUGCUAGUACAAAGGCAGUACAUGUAUUUGGCUUAACUUUAAAAAAUGAAUUUGAAUAAAAUAACUCAUCCCCAAGAAUAUUUUGGUAAUACUCCUUGGAGUUUAGUACAUGUAUGGAGCUAGAAUUGCAUGCUUUUCUUAGAUAUAAGUUCUUUUGACUGUUUUUGUUAUUGGUGAUUCAUCAUGCAUGUUUAGCCUAUACACAGUACAAUAAAUCUACAUACUGUGUUCUGUUGUGAGCAGAUAAACAAGAUAACUUUCUGUUGCAAAUAAUUAUUUCAUAUUGCUCUGUUA